GAACUGGUGGCCUAAGUGGUGAGAGCUUUCGUUUCAGAAGCGGGAGUUUGCGCGUUCAAACCCAAGCCGAUUCA